AGGGCACCACCAGGAGUGGAGCCUGCGGCUUAAUUUGACUCAACACGGGGAAACUUACCCGGCCUGGACACUGGAAGGAUUGACAGAUUGAGAGCUCUUUCUUGAUUCAGUGGGUGGUGGUGCAUGGCCGUCCUUAGUUGGUGGAGCGAUUUGUCUGGUUAAUUCCGAUAACGAACGAGACUCUAGCCUAUUAAAUAGGCUCUCGGCUUUUAAACGCCGGGAGGACUUCUUAGAGGGACAGGUGGCGGUUCAGCCGCACGAAAGAGAGCAAUAACAGGUCUGUGAUGCCCUUUGUUGUCCGGGGCCGCACGCGCGCUACACUGAAGAGAUCAGCGUGCUUUACGUUCCUGCUCCGACCGGAGUGGGGAACCCAGUGAACCUUCUUCGUGAUUGGGAUAGAAGAUUGUAAUUAUUCUUCUUGAACGAGGAAUUCCCAGUAAAUGCGAGUCAUAAGCUCGCGUUAAUUACGUCCCUGCCCUUUGUACACACCGCCCGUCGCUACUACCGAUUGAACGAUUU
rnacentral:rRNA from 1 species